rnacentral:rRNA from 1 species
GACGUAGGGCGCAAGCGUUGUUCGGAUUCAUUGGGCGUAAAGGGUGCGUAGGUGGCAUGGUAAGUCGGAUGUGAAAUCCCGGGGCUCAACCCCGGAACUGCAUUCGAUACGGGUGGACUAGAGGUAGGCAGGGGAGAACGGAAUUCCUGGUGUAGCGGUGAAAUGCGCAGAUAUCAGGAGGAACACCGGUGGCGAAGGCGGGUCUCUGGGCCGAUGACUGACGCUGAGGAGCGAAAAGCGUGGGGGAGCGAAACAGGGAU